ensembl:snRNA U2 U2 spliceosomal RNA
AUAGCUUCUCUACCUUUUUGCUAAGAUCAAGUGUAGCAUCUGUUCUUAACAGUUUAAAAUCUCAUACACCCCACUGGGGCUCCAAAUGUAGCGAGGGGGCUUGAUUCUUCUUCUUGUGGGUUCAAAUCCCAAACAUUGAGCAAGGUACCGUCC